AUGGGGGUGACUGCGUACCUUUUGUAUAAUGGGUCAGCGACUUAUAUUCUGUAGCAAGGUUAACCGUAUAGGGGAGCCGCAGGGAAACCGAGUCUUAACUGGGCGUUAAGUUGCAGGGUAUAGACCCGAAACCCGGUGAUCUAGCCAUGGGCAGGUUGAAGGUUGGGUAACACUAACUGGAGGACCGAACCGACUAAUGUUGAAAAAUUAGCGGAUGACCUGUGGCUGGGGGUGAAAGGCCAAUCAAACCGGGAGAUAGCUGGUUCUCCCCGAAAGCUAUUUAGGUAGCGCCUCGUGAACUCAUCUCCGGGGGUAGAGCACUGUUUCGGCUAGGGGGCCAUCCCGGCUUACCAACCCGAUGCAAACUGCGAAUACCGGAGAAUGUUAUCACGGGAGACACACGGCGGGUGCUAACGUCCGUCGUGAAGAGGGAAACAACCCAGACCGCCAGCUAAGGUCCCAAAGUCAUGGUUAAGUGGGAAACGAUGUGGGAAGGCACAGACAGCCAGGAUGUUGGCUUAGAAGCAGCCAUCAUUUAAAGAAAGCGUAAUAGCUCACUGGUCGAGUCGGCCUGCGCGGAAGAUGUAACGGGGCUAAACCAUGCACCGAAGCUGCGGCAGCGACACUAUGUGUUGUUGGGUAGGGGAGCGUUCUGUAAGCCGUCGAAGGUGUGCUGUGAGGCAUGCUGGAGGUAUCAGAAGUGCGAAUGCUGACAUAAGUAACGAUAAACAAGGUGAAAAACCUUGUCGCCGGAAGACCAAGGGUUCCUGUUCAACGUUAAUCGGAGCAGGGUGAGUCGACCCCUAAGGCGAGGCCGAAAGGCGUAGUCGAUGGGAAACAGGUUAAUAUUCCUGUACUUGGUGUUACUGCGAAGGGGGGACGGAGAAGGCUAUAUCAGCCGGGCGACGGUUGUCCCGGUUUAAGCGUGUAGGUGUGUGUUCCAGGCAAAUCCGGUUCACUUUACACUGAGGCGUGACGACGAGGCACUACGGUGCUGAAGUGAUAAAUGCCCUGCUUCCAGGAAAAGCCUCUAAGCAUCAGGUAACACAAAAUCGUACCCCAAACCGACACAGGUGGUCAGGUAGAGAAUACCAAGGCGCUUGAGAGAACUCGGGUGAAGGAACUAGGCAAAAUGGUGCCGUAACUUCGGGAGAAGGCACGCUGGCGCGUAGGUGAAGGGAC
rnacentral:rRNA from 1 species